GGGCCCGCACAAGCGGAGGAACAUGUGGUUUAAUUCGAUGAUACGCGAGGAACCUUACCCGGGCUUGAAAUGCUAUCGACGGACUUGGAAACAGGUCUUCCAGCAAUGGCGAUAGUGUAGGUGCUGCAUGGUUGUCGUCAGCUCGUGCCGUGAGGUGUCGGCUUAAGUGCCAUAACGAGCGCAACCCUUAUCAUUAGUUACUAACAGGUCACGCUGAGGACUCUAAUGAGACUGCCACCGUAAGGUGUGAGGAAGGUGGGGAUGACGUCAAAUCAGCACGGCCCUUACGUCCGGGGCGACACACGUGUUACAAUGGGGGGUACAGAGGGUCGCUACCACGCGAGUGGAUGCCAAUCUCGUAAAGCCUCUCUCAGUUCGGAUCGGAGUCUGCAACUCGACUCCGUGAAGCUGGAUUCGCUAGUAAUCGCGCAUCAGCCAUGGCGCGGUGAAUACGUUCCCGGGCCUU
rnacentral:rRNA from 1 species